GAAAUGCGAUAAUUAAUGUGAAUUGCAGAAUUCAGUGAAUCAUCGAGUCUUUGAACGCACAUUGCGCCCCCUGGUAUUCCGGGGGGCAUGCCUGUCCGAGCGUCAUUGCUGCCCUCAAGCACGGCUUGUGUGUUGGGCUUCCGUCCCUGGCAACGGGGACGGGCCCAAAAGGCAGUGGCGGCACCAUGUCUGGUCCUCGAGCGUAUGGGGCUUUGUCACCCGCUCCCGUAGGUCCAGCUGGCAGCUAGCCUCGCAACCAAUCUUUUUAACCAGGUUGACCUCGGAUCAGGUAGGGAUACCCGCUGAACUGAAGC
rnacentral:misc_RNA from 1 species